rnacentral:rRNA from 1 species
UACGUAGGUGGCAAGCGUUGUUCGGAAUUAUUGGGCGUAAAGCGCGCGCAGGCGGUUUCUUAAGUCUGAUGUGAAAGCCCACGGCUCAACCGUGGACGGUCAUUGGAAACUGGGAGACUUGAGUACAGAAGAGGAGAGUGGAAUUCCACGUGUAGCGGUGAAAUGCGUAGAUAUGUGGAGGAACACCAGUGGCGAAGGCGGCUCUCUGGUCUGUAACUGACGCUGAGGCGCGAAAGCGUGGGGAGCAAACAGG